rnacentral:sRNA from 1 species
CCCUAGCCCUGAUUGCAGUGGAAAUCCUUUUUAGGAAGCAUGACUAAAAAGAUUGGAGCGGAAAGCAGGAAAUAGC